rnacentral:misc_RNA from 1 species
AUGAGAUCCAUGAGAAAAGUUGAAUCUGGCAACAUUCAUGCCAGCCCGGAGAAGCUUCUCGACCAUGAAAACUGAGCGAGAUUCUGGGCCUAAAGUGCAUACAAUCUUGGUCUUAGGCCUCUUGACAUUGUUGUUGUUUUCAAUCGCCAUAGCCAAAAGGAAGGAGACAAAACUGAAAUAAUAAUAUUGGUGAGAGAAGGAAUAGUAGAAUAGUCGGUGGAAUAAUAA